rnacentral:rRNA from 1 species
AGUCGAGCGGGGAAGGUAGCUUGCUACUGGACCUAGCGGCGGACGGGUGAGUAAUGCUUAGGAAUCUGCCUAUUAGUGGGGGACAACAUUCCGAAAGGAAUGCUAAUACCGCAUACGCCCUACGGGGGAAAGCAGGGGAUCUUCGGACCUUGCGCUAAUAGAUGAGCCUAAGUCGGAUUAGCUAGUUGGUGGGGUAAAGGCCUACCAAGGCGACGAUCUGUAGCGGGUCUGAGAGGAUGAUCCGCCACACUGGGACUGAGACACGGCCCAGACUCCUACGGGAGGCAGCAGUGGGGAAUAUUGGACAAUGGGCGGAAGCCUGAUCCAGCCAUGCCGCGUGUGUGAAGAAGGCCUUUUGGUUGUAAAGCACUUUAAGCGAGGAGGAGGCUCCUUUAGUUAAUACCUAAAGUGAGUGGACGUUACUCGCAGAAUAAGCACCGGCUAACUCUGUGCCAGCAGCCGCGGUAAUACAGAGGGUGCGAGCGUUAAUCGGAUUUACUGGGCGUAAAGCGUGCGUAGGCGGCUUUUUAAGUCGGAUGUGAAAUCCCUGAGCUUAACUUAGGAAUUGCAUUCGAUACUGGAAAGCUAGAGUAUGGGAGAGGAUGGUAGAAUUCCAGGUGUAGCGGUGAAAUGCGUAGAGAUCUGGAGGAAUACCGAUGGCGAACGCAGCCAUCUGGCCUAAUACUGACGCUGAGGUACGAAAGCAUGGGGAGCAAACAGGAUUAGAUACUCCUGGUAGUUCCAUGCCGUAAACGAUGUCUACUAGCCGUUGGGGCCCUUUGAGCUUUAGUGGCGCAGCUAACGCGAUAGUAGAUCGCCUGGGGGAGUACGGUCGCAGACUAAAACUCAAAUGAAUU